GGUCAUCCUAUACAGGGGUAAGAGAAUAGAUAAACGACGGGUAGCUGCAGAAUUAGUGAGUGAAGAAUCACAGAAUCACAAAAGUUCGAAGAACGACAUUUUUAAUGAAAAAUCUAUGUAGAGAAUGCAUUCCAGACCCCAAUGACACAGUUUUACUAUCGACAAUGACCUAUACUCAGGGGCAUUAAGGACUGUCCAAAUUAAAAUUACAAGGAAUUUUGUUAUAAUAAUAUUCAUACACAAGUGUCAUCGCAUUGGAAUGUUUAUCACGUGCGUGGGUGGAAAACAUCUGCAAUUACUAGUGGGGGUGGAGCUUCGGUCACAUGACACUGUACUUAGCUUUCUGAAGUUGACCGUAGCUAGUUGAUCGUGUAGAACCCUGAAAAACUAUUUGUUGUAAGCUACCUAGUAGUUAUUAAAGGCCUUAACUAAGACUAUUAGAUAGUAGAGAACUUGUUUCCUGCUGCGCAAGACAGAGUGCAACCAAACAAGAAUGUUAGGAGGAGAUCUCGGGGACAAUUCAGGAUUUCAUCAGUAUAUGAUAUGUGCAUCAGGAUUCCAAGAAAAGAUAGGAUCUAACUAAGCUGGAACAAAUAGUUUUUUUAUAAUUUAGUUUUACAAGGAAAUUUCAUGUUAAUUGGUCACAUGAUAGUCACAUGAUCUGUUUUUUCAUUAAGGAAACUUAAAUUAUUAUGACAAAACAAAAUGUGCAAUUACUAUGUUUAAUAUUGAAUACUUUUUGAUAUAUG